UCCAGUGGUACCACAUGCUGCUGUGCAAACAGAGCACGUGGUCUGGCCAAACAAAGGAACAUGUGUGCGGCAAACCAUCCCCCUAUCGCUGGGGCGCCAGCUCCGCCGGGAGAGGGCCGGGCCUGCACACCGUAAUUUUUCACCCGAUGCUCAGAGUGAUUCCCAGCUUCCCACCCGCUGCGCCCAGCAACUCCCACGUCAUUCCGCCAUAGCAGCAUCUGUGAAAUGAGACAAUAUCCGGCACACGUGCCUGCACUGCUCAGGUCACCAGGCCUCCGAGGGUGGAGCUGAACAAAGAACUUGCGUGAAGAGGCUUCAUUGUCUGCAACAAGCACAAGCAACAGGGCUCCUCUCCACAAUUCCACCGGGGGCGAAUCCCCAUCUUUGAAGGAUUCUAUUUCAGCACCUUAAAUGUGCUCUCCAUCUGAUUGAUAAGGGUCAUGACAGUGUCUCUUGUCUGGGAGAAAGGGGGCUAUGGAGGUGGGGGUUAUUUGAAAACGAGUUCGCUUCCUGGAAGACUGGUGGGAAGGAGUCAAGAGUAGGGCUGCUGUGGGGGCGAUAGAGGCUGGGGUCUAUGUUUCAUUUGGAGAGGUGGGACCUGGAGACAGUUACCUGUUCUUGGAAAGUUGGAAACUAUUUGGAUUUCCUUAGUUGUUAUUUUGACUUGAGAAACUACCCCCUUUCACUCCUCUGGCCUUCUGCUUCCACACAAUAAAAAUUAAUUACAACGAA